GUUAUUUAUUUAUUUAUUUAUUUAUUUUUAUUUCUUACUUUUUAAUGUGAAUGUUAAGUGAACAUUCCAAUUUAUAAUUUUGCAAACAUUAUGGGAAUGGUACACUUGAAGGUUCUCUGAACAUUCUGAAACAUAAAAAAAAAACGUUUCAUGAAUGAUGCUAAAUAACGUUUUUGUGCUAACAUUUUGAGAACAUUCUUAAGAAGGCUUGCACUGUAAGUGUCACAGACUCAGCCACAACAUCAGCGCCAGACCCUACAACUCCACCCACUCGUUCAAACUCACCUGAAUACUAAUCACCUGGCAUGCUUAUUAGGACUCUGUUAUAUACUCACCAGUCUCCACACAUCCUUGUCUGGUUUCAUCACUCACUACCAUGUGCAUGAACUUACCAGACCACUUACCUGCCAAGUGGAUUCCUACCUAUCAUUGUCAUCCUCAUCUUCCUUGUAUCAACCAACAUAACUUCAUACCAGCAAAAGAUAAAGAGACAUUCUAUCAAUAGUUAAAUGACGACUCAGUGACUUUCACAAUACUGUUGACUUCUCUGAUUCAUUCCUUGUUGAACCUGUAACUUUGAAUCUGCCGUUUCCUCAUCUGUUUAUGACACAAGACCAGACCUAAAAUACUACAAGAUGGAAUCAGGACCGUCUUACCAGUCAACAACCGAUCCAUUUGCCGAUCUAGUCCAGUCACUCCGUCAGUCACUACAUCCACCAGUCACAGUCAAAGCACUGAACAUUCAUUCCAUUCUGGGGAAAUUGCUGGGAUGAGGAGUAAUCACACACUGCACCCCCACACUCACACUUCACAUUGGCUGUUUUCACAAAGGAAAUUUCGUUUCUGGUGCUGGAGGGCUCAACUGCAGAUAUCAUCCUGGGACGCCCGUGGAUGCAAACUCACUCACAUCUCCUGGUCGAUUGGUGACAUUCUGUCAUGGAGCGACCACUGUUACCACUGUCUUCAACUUCCUCACAAACUGGUGAAGAAUCAUCAUCAAGUGUCUCUCAACUCUACUACCAUCGAAAGUCCCACUCCUACAACUCAAGUGGAGAUCCCCAGUAAGUUCCGGGCGCUCCGGGAUGUAUUCAGCAUACAACUGGCUACAAAGUUACCACCUCAUCGGCCAUGGGACUGUGCCAUCGAGCUGCUGCCUGGAGCCACAUUGUUUGAAGGUAAAAUCUACCCACUAUUGAUCCUGGAGAAGCAGGCCAUGUAGGAGAAUAUCGAGGAAGUUCUCAACCAAGGUUACAUUCGUCCUUCUACCUCCCCUGAGCCUUCCAGCUUUUUCUUCGUGGCUAAGAAGGACGAAGGCUUGAAUUCCCUGCAUUGAUUACCAUACUCUCAAUGAACAAACCAUCAAGAUCCGCUAUCCACUUCUUCUGGUCCCUGCUGCUUUGGAACAACUGAGGGGAGCACAUGUAUUCACCAAGCUGCGUAACGCAUAAAACCUCAUCCUGAUACGGAAGGGUGAUGAUUGGAAGACCGACUUUGUAACACCAUCAGACCACUUUGAAUAUCUGGUCAUGCCAUACAGGGCUGUGUAACUCACCUUCCGUAUUCCAGGUAUUUAUGAAUGAGGUGUUCCGGGAGAACCUCCAUCACUUUUUCAUCCAUUACAUCAACGACAUCCUGAUCUACACCCGGAACCAGGCUGAACAUCGCCAACACGUUACCAGGUCCUGCAAAAGCUACGAGAACAUUAGCUUUGGAGUUUAUCCUCAGGCUACCAUCCACAGUCCAAUGGGCAGACAGAAAUGAAGAUCCAAGAAAUCGGAUGUUACCUGCAGUCAUACUGCCACAACCUGGGCAGAGUAUGCUCAGAAUUUUCUUCAUCAGAACUCUACUGGAUUAACACCUUUCCAAUGCAUACUCAGUUUCCAACCAUCCCUGUUCCCUGGUCAGGUGAGCCAUCGGAAGUCCCAGCUGUGAAACACUGUUUCCAGGAAAGCGAAAGGGUCUGGGACUCAGCUCAUAUCCAUCUGCAGAGGGCAGUAAGGAGGCAUAAGAGCCAGACCAACCUAAAAAAAUCUGUGACUCCCAUCUACCACCCAGGGCAGAAGGUCUGGCUCUCCAUCAGGGACAUCUGCCUCCGACUGCCCUGUCAUAAGCUGAGUACCCGUUACAUCGGGUCUGUCGCAACGCAUGUACCUCCUCCUCCAGUGGAAUCAGAAGAGGGGCUCAUCUACACUGUCUGUGACAUCUUGGACUCCCGAUGACUGGGCGGUCGUCUCAAAUACCUCGCCGACUGGGAGGGAUAUGGUCCCAAUUAAAGAUCUUGGGUACCACAAGAUGACAUACUCUGUUAUAUACUCACCAGUCUCCACACAUCCUUUUCUAGUCUCAUCGCUCACUACCGUGUGCAUGGACUUACCUGACCAUAAAAACAUAAAAAAAAAAAACGUUUCAUGAAUGAUGCUAAAUAACGUUUUUGUGCUAACAUUUUGAGAACAUUCUUAAGAAGGCUUGCACUGUAAGUGUCACAGACUCAGCCACAACAUCAGCGCCAGACCCUACAACUCCACCCACUCGUUCAAACUCACCCGAAUACUAAUCACCUGGCAUGCUCAUUAGGACUCUGUUAUAUACUCACCAGUCUCCACACAUCCUUGUCUGGUUUCGACACUCACUACCAUGUGCAUGAACUUACCAGACCAAUUACCUGCCAAGUGGAUUCCUACCUAUCAUUGUCAUCCUCAUCUUCCUUGUAUCAACCAGAAUAACUUCAUACCUGCAAAGGAUAAAGAGACAUUCUAUCAAAAGUCAAGUGACGACUCAGUGACUUUCACAAUACUGUUGACUUCUCUGAUUCAUUCCUACAAUAAAGAACCUGUAACUGAA